GAUAAGUGAGAGUUACUAGAGAGAGUGACACCGGAGAGAGCGAGUUUGCUGAAUAUGAAAGAGUGGAAGGAGGGACAUACACACCUAGUGAUGAUAUAUUCCAUGAUGUGAUGGGGGACGCGGACUCCCGUAGAGAGCGACCUGUGGAUGUGCUGCCCGCUGCAGGGAGGGAGCCAAUCCGGACGAUUCUAUUUAUUUGUACCUGCGGACCAUUGACAGCUCACUAUCGCCGUAUAUCGGGUUUAGAUAGUUGUGUAUCCAGUAUGGAGGAAAACAUGACGGACAUAAAAGGGAAAUUGUCGGUCAUUCUGUCACUGUUGCAGUCUACAUGCAAGGGUUCCACGGUGAAUGGAGGAAGACACCAGGUCACCCAUCCCAUCUUGGGAUCCUGAUACCAAUAAUGUGACUGCCUCUGACACUCCAUCCCCCCUCCCCGAUACCACCACUUCACCUACUCCCCCUCCCUACAGCCUGAUACCACCACGACAUCACCAAUGACGUUGAACCUAUAGAGGCCGACAUCCCACAAACAGAGCCCGACAUGUCUGUCUUACUCACCAUGCCUAAUACAGAGGCUGACAUGUCUGACAUCCCAGAGGCCGACACUUCUGGGAUUGUUAUGACCACAGAAGGAGUUACACUGGAAUCUUGAAGAAUUAAUUGUAAGAGGAAACCUGUUGAUAAAUAUACACCUCCUUCUUAAGUAAAGAAGAAAAGUGUGGUUAAGCAUCCUCUCCCAGGUGUAGCUACGUCACUAUCCAGAGCGAUCUCACAUAUAACGUAGCACAUGAUGUUCCACACAAUAUUCUUACAGAAAUGAUGGUCGGGAUCUCGAACGACAAUACGGACAAUGAGGUUCGAGAGAAUUCCUUUAAACCACUCGCCAAGCAAUUCUUCAAGGAAUUAUUACCCCGAAUUUGUUGGUCGAGUGUGAUAGUCACCUUAAUGCUCGUGGUGGGGUAUUUAAACGAAUAAAGAAUAAGACACUUCUAGAGGCUGCCCUAGCAUGGGAAGAUGAAGACACGUAUAAGAACUAUGUCAUCGGUAAAUUCGAUGUCAAAUGGGCAGAUGUGAAUUUCGUUUAUACGGCGAUGAAUAUCAGUGACCACUGGAUGGUUCUUGCUAUGGACAUUAACAGAGGCCACAUAUUCGUGUUCGGUUCACUUCUGUCAUACACAUCAAUGACAAAGUUGGUGAAUUGGCUAGAGCCAUUGAUAGUCACGAUACCAUCCCUACUUCACUACUGUGACAUGGAUCGUUCAAAACCGGACAUAUCCACAGCUCAUUGAAAAAUCUCGUGACCUAUAAACGUCGAUGUACAACACGGGUCGCUUGAUUGUGGCAUCUUCGCAAUCAAAUUACUAGAACACCUGGUGACUGGUGCUGAUCCAUCCGUAAUCACCCAGGAGAAGAGGAGUGAAUACAAGAUGCAGUUAGCGUGUCAACUAUGGGCAAACACUCCAUAUUUUUUUAUGUGUAUAGAACAUGUAUUUUUUAGAUAUGUAAAAACAUUUAUUUUUUAUGUAUGUAAAAAUAUUUAUUUUUUAUGUAUAAUGGAGCUUCUGCUCUUUUCGUUGUAUAAUUGAACAUAUAUUUUUUUAU